CUUCCCGCAGAGGGUAGGUCGGACAAAUGGUGCCGGAAACCCGGGACGGGAGCUGAGGCUGUUGGCCCGGCCACGGCCCCCCUCCCCGACCUACCCAACACUGGCCCUGCCACCUCCACAUUCCGAUUAAGGCUGGAUUGAAGCUUACCCCACAGCCUCUGAGUCUGCCGGGACAGUAGCCACUCAUCUCAUUCAAGACAUCAUCCCACGCUUUGGACUCCCAGCUACCAUACAGUCAGACAACGGCCUAGCCUUUAUCUCCAAAGUCACUAAUGCCGUUUCUACCUCUCUAGGAAUUCAGUAGAAGCUACAUGCCGCCUACCAUCCCCAGUCCUCUGGUAAGGUAGAACGGGCCAAUGGCCUAAUAAAGGAGCAUCUGACCAAGCUCAUGCUUGAGCUCCGCCAAUCCUGGGUAACCUGACUUCCUAUCGCCCUCACCAGAGUAAGAGCAAGCCCCCGGGGCCCAUCACAGCUUAGCCCAUUUGAGCUGCUGUAUGGUUGCCCCUUCCUGCUUUCAACUCCCCCACCGCCAGAGACUACUCCUCUAGACAGCUACCUCCCCUACUUUACUCAGGAUUAGGAGGAGGGGCACUAGUCCACUCUCACCUGGCCAUAGCCCGACUGACCUCACAACUCCAAGCGGCUAUUGAUGACUCUACUGAGUCUUUAGCAUCACUCCAACGACAGAUCACCUCAGUUGCCCAAGUUGCCUUGCAGAACCGAAGAGCCCUGGACCUGCUCACUGCUGAAUGAGGAGGGACCUGUAUCUUCCUACAGGAAGAGUGCUGUUACUACAUCAAUGAAUCCGGCCUAGUAGAAACCCGAAUCGAGAGCCUCCAGAAACUCAAAACUAACCUGCAGAGUCAGAAGUUCUCGGCUGAAGCCACGGCGUGGUGGUCUUCCUCUAUGUAUACCCUCUUGUCCCCAUUGCUUGGGCCCCUAGUAGCUGUUUGCCUAAUCUUACUUAUUGCUCCUUGCUUUCUACAGUUCCUAUAGCGGCGCUUUCAAGAACUGACUCGAGUCACCAUCCACCAGAUGCUGCUCCAACCCUACCCUGAACGAGUGCAAGAAACAGACCUCUCCCCGAACAUCCAGGCUCCUUAGGAAAAGAAACCUCUUCAGAACCCCCCCGUCGACCCUUGUCAGCAGGAAGUAGCCAGAGAGACAACCGACGCCCCUGACCCCCUCUUUUUCUUUUCUUUAAGGAGUCGGGAAUGUUUGGAAAACUCUGCCCCUACCGCAAAAGCUCUCUCUCUCUCUCUUUCCCUCCCCCACAAAGAGGCUCCCUUAUCUCUCACUUUACAUACCGGCCAUAGCCCUCCCGCCGCCCAGCUUCCCGCCGCCCAGCUUCCCGCCCAGCAGUUCAAACUGACCAACAGUUGCCCACCACCUCGGCUUUUGGCUUCCCCACCCCCAGCCCUUCAGCCCCCUAUAAAACAACCCUGCCCCUUUGAGCGGCGCGGCCAUUUUUCCUUUUCGUCCCGGCUGGCCUGCCCGGAGGCUCUUUCCUCUCAAUAAAGCCUGAACUUAAGGAA